rnacentral:rRNA from 1 species
CCUACGGGAGGCUGCAGUAGGGAAUAUUGCUCAAUGGGCGAAAGCCUGAAGCAGCAACGCCGCGUGGGUGAUGAAGGUUUUCGGAUCGUAAACUUCUGUUGUUAGAGAAGAUAAUGAGGGUAACUAACUAAUCAGCACCUGCCAACUCCGAGCCAGCAACCGCGGUAAUACGAAGGGUGCAAGCGUUAGGCGGAAUGACUGGGCGUAAAGUGAGCGGAGGCGGGAUAGCAUGUCUGAUGUGAAAGCCUAUGGCUUAACCGUAGAACUGCAUUUGAAACUGUUAAGCUAGAGUGUGGGAGAGGUAAGUGGAAUUCUUGGUGUAGCGGUGAAAUGCGUAGAGAUCUAGAGGAAUACUAGUGGCGAAGGCGACUUGCUGG